UGGUGAUCAGUGCUUGGAGUUGCUGCAGCUGGUGGCUCCUUCCUCCUGCUGGGCUUUUGGUUUCAUGAUUAGAUAGAUGCUGGUCUAGCUCCUGAUCCAGUCCAGGUUCUUAUGCUGGCUUUUACUGUAUUGGAGCUGACUUUUGAAGCAGGUGUCCCAUUCCUCAUGAAGAGAAGCCUUGUGUUGUUGGUGCCCAGGCCGUGUGACGCAGUACAGCAUGGUCUUACAAUAUCCCUGCUAUUGUGAUAUUUGGGAAUUCACCAAGUUGAGAGUCACAGUCAGAGACUAGUAACCAAUUUCUGGAUUACUACUUCCAAGGGAAUCUUAGAUGCCGUUCUGAAAUGCUGUGCAGCCAGCACUGCUGCUGGCUGUGUCCCUCAUUUGCAUGAGGAAGGUUCGGGUGUUUUCUCAGCUGCUGGGCUCAAAGACCUGCCUGCUGGAGGUAUUUUCUCUUCAGCUUCCAUAACCAAGAUAGAAAUUAAUGAAAAAGGUACAGCACUAGCACAAUCGAUAGCAGCCAUAUUUCUUCAAAGGACUUAAUUUUCUGUUUUUCAUGUUUCUCAAAUAGCUUUUCUGCUGCACAACAGGGGAAUGUGCCAAACCACUUGAAACUUAAUGGUAAAUGUAUUUUUCAGAUAAUCAGAAUUCCAAACAAAUGCUUUUACCCAUCAGAUCAUUCACUUCCCAUGAUAAAUCUUUACAGCAUAUGUAUAAUCCUUCAAAUUACUUUUUAAUCUCUUAUGUAGGCUGAGAUUUAAUUUUUUUUUAUCAGGAUGGGUAAUUUUUUGCACUUUACACAUUUCUGGGAGAUAUUCUUAAAAUUAUAGAGGAGAUUCUUUCCCGCAAAUCUUUUUCAGUUGAUAUAAAGACUAUGUAUUAAAUCUACUCAUGAGGUAGUUUCUUCAUUUAUGUUCAGAAUCAAUUAACAGUGCUGAGUGUUUAUAAACAGUAAUUGUUGAGGUUGCAUAUGAAUCAAACUAAGUGAUUAAUUAAACAUUUUAAACUAAAUUGCAAAUGCUCAUUACUUUUUAGUAUUUUUCUAUAUUUUACCUCUUAUUUAUUGCUUGGGCCAUAUGCUCAGCACUGACAAAGCCUCAGUUUUAAUUCUGUAUUCAGUUUGGGGUGAAGCAUUUAAAGAACGAUACGCAUUUGGAGUGAGUCAACAAGAGAGUAACAAAAAUGGGAUGUUAUCUACAAAAUAGCACACAUACAGAAGAGACUUUAGCUUACAAAAUCAAGAAAAGCUGGGGGGUGGGGUGGGGGAGGAAGGUUUAGGGAACCAAAAUAAAUAAAACCAAGGAGGAAGGUGGUGGUAGUUUUUCUUUAUUUAAAAGGCUGCUAUGGAGUGGAGAGAGUGAGUCUGUUCUUCAUAUAAGCUUAACGGAGGAAUAGGAAAAAAUAGGGUUUGAAUUCUAAUGGAAAAAAUAGUUUUGGAAAUUACGGAAAAUUUUUAAACUUAUGACCUGAGCAGGUUAUCGA